UUAUAUGGAGAGUUUGAUCCUGGCUCAGGACGAACGCUGGCGGCGUGCCUAAUACAUGCAAGUCGAGCGGACGGAUGGGAGCUUGCUCCCAGACCGUCAGCGGCGGACGGGUGAGUAACACGUGGGCAACCUGCCUGUAAGACUGGGAUAACUCCGGGAAACCGGGGCUAAUACCGGAUAACUCUUUCCCUCACAUGAGGGAAAGCUGAAAGAUGGCAUCUCGCUAUCACUUACAGAUGGGCCCGCGGCGCAUUAGCUAGUUGGU
rnacentral:rRNA from 1 species